rnacentral:lncRNA from 1 species
AUUUAAAUUUAAUAAGUUACACACAUUCUUCUUUUUUUAAACGCUUUUAUUUAUUUCAAUAGAUUGCGUCAAAUCUUUGGAUGUUAAUUUGACUACCUUUUCUUCCAUGCAAAUGAAUGAAAAUUUGCAGACAUAUGCAUUCGCGGGAACAAUACACGAAUAGACAACAAAAAAUGUUUGUUAAUGUUUAUUAAUUGUUUAAAUAAAAAAAAAACGAUUUUAAUGGAAAAAGGCCUAAAUUCACUUGUUUUUUACAAUGCAGAAACUUGAAGCUUUUACGGAUUGUAGCUAAUGAUAUAACCUAUACAUAAUUUCACUUUUUACGUUAAUUGUUUACGUUAUGCGUCAUAAAUAAACAAUAAAGUUUUAAAUUUUGAACACUCAUAUAUUUGUUUAUACAGUACGAUGCAAAUGAAAAGAAUAAAUUCGUUAUUUCGUAAAAAGGCGACUUUAAAUUACGAUAUUUUGGCAUAUAUGUCAUACUAGUGACGUCAUCCAUCUGGGCGCGAUGACGUAAUCGAUGAUUUUUUAAAUGAGAAUAGGGGACAUGCGAUAGCCCAUUUGAACGGUCAUUCAAUUCUUUAUUCAGUAGAUUGAAUGUAAUUUAUUAUUAAGCACUUUUCUUUAGUUCAAUCGUUUGUGUCAAAUAUUUAGACGUUAAUUUGACUGCCUUUUCUUCAAUGAAAAUGAAUGAAAAUUUGCAGACAUAUGCAUUCGCAGGAACAAUACACGAAUAGUCAAUAAAAAAAUUUUAUGUUUAUUAAUUGUUUAAAUAAAAAGACACGAUUUGAAUGGAAAAUGCUUAAAUUCCCUAGUUUUUUACAAUGAAGAAACUUGAAAGUUUUAGAGAUUGUAGCUAGUUAUAUGAACUAUACAUAAUUUCACUUUUUACGUUAAUUGUUUACAUUAUGCUUCAUAAAUAAACAAUAGAGAUUAAAUUUUUUGGCCGAUUCCGACUAAUUUUCAUGUUUGUUAAUCAUGUUAUAUUUUAUACAUAUAUUUUAAUAAACAUGAUAUAUUUUAAUGUUUGAAAACUGUUAGACUAAAAAGUAAAAAAUAAAAAAAUAUAAAAAAAAAUUUUUUAGGAAACGCUUUUCUUUAGUUACGAGUGACUAAAAUUAAAAAUAUUAUAAAAAAAUCAACUAAAAAGCAAGAAAUAAAAAAAAUUCAAACACAUUCGUUAAAGAAAAGCGUAGGGCGCAUCUUCAUCGAAUAAACGGUUUUCGCCCCACGCUUUUCUUUAAGAGGAUCGGAACGUAUUUGCAAAUGAAUGAAAAUUUGCAGACAUAUGCAUUCGCGGUGACAAUACACGAAUAGACAACAAAAAAUUUUUGUUUAUGUUUAUUAAUUGUUUAAAUAAAAAAAACGAUUUUAAUGGAAAAAGGCCUAAAUUCUCUUGUUUUUUACAAUGUAGAAACUUGAAGCUUUUACGGAUUGUAGCUAAUGAUAUAACCUAUACAUAAUUUCACUUUUUACGUUAAUUGUUUACGUUAUGCGUCAUAAAUAAACAAUAAAGUUUUAAAUUUUGAACACUCAUAUAUUUGUUUAUACAGUACGAUGCAAAUGAAAAGAAUAAAUUCGUUAUUUCGUAAAAAGGCGACUUUAAAUUACGAUAUUUUGGCAUAUAUGUCAUACUAGUGACGUCAUCCAUCUGGGCGCGAUGACGUAAUCGAUGAUUUUUUAAAUGAGAAUAGGGGACAUGCGAUAGCCCAUUUGAACGGUCAUUCAAUUCUUUAUUCAGUAGAUUGAAUGUAAUUUAUUAUUAAGCACUUUUCUUUAGUUCAAUCGUUUGUGUCAAAUAUUUAGACGUUAAUUUGACUGCCUUUUCUUCAAUGAAAAUGAAUGAAAAUUUGCAGACAUAUGCAUUCGCAGGAACAAUACACGAAUAGUCAAUAAAAAAAUUUUAUGUUUAUUAAUUGUUUAAAUAAAAAGACACGAUUUGAAUGGAAAAUGCUUAAAUUCCCUAGUUUUUUACAAUGAAGAAACUUGAAAGUUUUAGAGAUUGUAGCUAGUUAUAUGAACUAUACAUAAUUUCACUUUUUACGUUAAUUGUUUACAUUAUGCUUCAUAAAUAAACAAUAGAGAUUAAAUUUUUUGGCCGAUUCCGACUAAUUUUCAUGUUUGUUAAUCAUGUUAUAUUUUAUACAUAUAUUUUAAUAAACAUGAUAUAUUUUAAUGUUUGAAAACUGUUAGACUAAAAAGUAAAAAAUAAAAAAAUAUAAAAAAAAAUUUUUUAGGAAACGCUUUUCUUUAGUUACGAGUGACUAAAAUUAAAAAUAUUAUAAAAAAAUCAACUAAAAAGCAAGAAAUAAAAAAAAUUCAAACACAUUCGUUAAAGAAAAGCGUAGGGCGCAUCUUCAUCGAAUAAACGGUUUUCGCCCCACGCUUUUCUUUAAGAGGAUCGGAACGUAUUUUCGGCUGCAAUGCUAUUCAAAUGGGGAUUCAUUUUUUUCAAAUCCUGAGAAAACUAAUAAGUAUUUUGGAAAAAUUUAAACGCAGAAUGAAAGAUUACGUUAUUAGCGAACUAGAGUCUGUAGCACCAAACAAAAAGAAAUUUCGCAAGGCUAUGAUUGGCCACAAAAUCCCGGCUUGCGAUUGGUUAGAAAGCUGACUGUGAUGAUAAGAUUUAAGAUAAUAUAACCUAGAAUUUAAAUUUUAUUUGACAGUUGUUUUAAUGUCUGUACAAUAUUCAACAAAAUAAACAAAAUAUAGAACAAUAAUAAUAAUAAUUAUAAUGAUUUAUGAUUUCCUAAAGAAAUAUAUGCUUUAGAAAGAUGUAACAUAUUUAAAUAGAAAAUGAGAUGUAAAAUCUUGAGAACCCAAGAGCUGCAUAUGUCUGAAAGCAAAAUAAAUGAAACUGAGGGCAUAGAUAGAUAACAUUUUACUGAAAGACAAUGAAUAAAAUAUCACUGAAUAUGAGAAGAUAGUUCAUCAAAAGUUGGGGAUGUUUAAGAAGAAUUUUGCUGAAUCGAACAAUCAUAAUCGCUGCCGUCAGUCAUACAAAGUAAAAAGUAAACUGCGAAAGUUUAGUCCUAUCAAAAUUUAACUAUGGUGAUGUUGUGUAUGGGCCAUUCCACGAAUAUACGUCUGUUCUAGACCAUCGUGACAACAAAUAUUUUAGUGUGCAACAUAAGAAGUACGAAAGUAAAUGGCUCUAAAAAUUAUUACAAUAAACAAGAAUGUAAUUUGCAAUUUAGUUUCGUACUUCUUAUGUUGCACACUAACAUAUUCGUUGUCACGAUGGUCUAGAACAGACGUAUAUUCGUGGAAUGGACAUUGUAUUCGAUCAGAUGACAGAGGAAGAAUUCGGGGGGUUCAAAAGACACCAGCCUAUUUGUCACAAAUUUAAAACAUGUAAAAUGGUUGAGCAUGGAAAAGAGAAGAUUUCUACAUGCUGCUUGUCUGUUCCACAAAAUUAUCAAAAACUCACUACCAACAUAUCUUUUUAAAAAAGUUAUACAGUGAUGAGCGCCCUAAUAACCGGCAAAAUAACGCAAAAGUGGGAAACAUUAAGUUGUGAGAUAAACAGAAAUGAAACUAGUGGAGGUGGGAGAUUUAGCGAUAAAAACUUAUAAGUUUACAUUUUACUUAUUGUUUCCCACCUUCAGACGUAUCAGAUGAGUAUUUCAACUAAAACUGUCACAGUGGCAGUUGCCAAACUCGUCCGAUACAUCUAAAGGUGGAAAACAAUAAAUAUAAUAUAAAUGUAUAGGUUUGUAUCGCUAAAUUUUCCACCUACACUAGUUUUAUUUCUUUUUAUCUCACAACUUAAUUUAUUACACUCAUCACUGUUUAUAGAACUGACAUAAGAGGCACAGAGCAACAGUGGCCUAACACCAAAAAAACGAAGUUUUGAGAUAAACGCAAUCUUUUCAUUCAUAUUUACAUUGUGCUUAUGGGAUGAUGCUACAAAUUAUGUAACGAUAUUUAGCCAAAUAUACAGGUAGGUUGUGUAGACCCUUGUUAAUCUGAAGAUUUAAUGUUGCUACUUUUAUUGAUGUAUUAAUCUAAAAAUGAUCAAUUUGUGCUUUUUUUCUCUUGCUUAAGAUGAAAAGUCUAGGUGCUGAUUUCUUGAAAUCGGUACCAACUGAUCUUCAGCAUUUUUUUCUUAGUAUUUUGUGCAUAGAGGUAUAUCGUCAUCGUCAGAGCCAAACCUCAUAUGUACAUUAUUGACAAAAUCCACUAUUUUUUUAUUUAUAAUUAAAACAUAAUACAGUCGAACCUCGAUUAUCCGUCUCUCCAUUAACCGUCACCUCUGUUAACUGUCAGGGUACAUACAGAAGUUGUAUCGACUACAUAAGCAAAACUUUUAAUGUAAAAAAACAAAAAAAAAUUAAUUUGAUUUGUGAUGAGGACACAAACGGCUAUCCAUUGCUGACAGAUAAAGAAAUCGUUGAAAUGGCAACAAAGGCGGACCAAACAGAUUCAGAAGCUGACGCAGACUUGGAAUUUGACUGUAGCUAUGUUGAUGAACUUAUUGUAACUGACAAAGAUUUGCAUAAAUAAUCUAGAGAAGCUGCAUCGAAUAUGCAAUAAUUCAUCGAGUGGUAUUCUCAACAAGAAGCCAAUAAAGUAGAUUGCAUGAUCUUAUGCCGAUUAAGAAAUUCAGCCGUCGCAAAAUGUGAAGCAACAGUAAAACAAACAAAAAUUUCAGAAUAUCUUAAAUCGAUUUGAUUGUACGAACACAAAUCCGUCUUAUAUUGUCAAACAAACCAUACAAAUGAAAUUUGAGAGUUGUACUGUGAAUUUUUAAUUUUUUUUAAUAUUCUGUUAACCGUCUUUUCGAUUAUCCGUCAUACCAUUGGUCCGGUGCCCUGACGGAUAAUCGAGGUUCUACUGUACUGAUAUAAUCUUCUUAAUAUUAUUUCUAAAUUUAAAGAGUAUAGUACUUUUUAACACAUUUCAGCAAAAUGAUGUUAAUUCUGAUAAAGAUAAAAAAUAUAUGAGUUUUUUUCAUUUCCUGAAAAAUCUCACAACAUGCACAUAUGUACAAGAUUUGGCACUGAGGCCGACGAUAUAUGAAUAUAUUUUAUCAUGUUAUAUUUUGUGUAUUGUUUGAAUUUGAACAAAAAAAUGCAGACCUUUAUUGUUAUUAUUAGAUGCAGAUAUUUCCUCUUGUAUAAUAUAGUAAGACAAAACAUUAAAUAUAACAAGUGUUACCAAAAUAGUUCAAUUUCAAAUUUUUAUUUUAUUAUUGAAUCCUAUGCAGGAACAAUGUUGUAAAUGCCAAAUCAGAUUUUGUCGACAACUUGAGAAAAAUAUGCAAGUAGUAAUGAUUUGAAAAAAGGAACUUUAUGAGGAUAACAUGAUAGACUAUAGGAUGCAUCAAGUAAAGUCUUUUAAUAUUCCCAAUGCUCGGCAGUACAUUAUUUUGCACAUAUAGAACUUUGUUCCUGGAAAACCAACAUACAAAUAUUGUGGUUACGCAAACAUUGUUCCAGUAUGGGAUUCAAUUAUUUUCAUAGAAGACACAAUUUUUUCAAGACAUGACUACUAUCUGAUGUAUCUCUUUUAAUUUGAAAAAUGCCAAAUGUAAUAUUUAGUCAAAUUCUUAGUGUUCUGCACACACAUACACACACUUUGUCUAGAUCUAGAGUGACCUGUAGCUAUUUUUCCACUCUAUUUAUGAGUUAAAGAUUAAGGACAGGUUGUUCUUCCAACAUGUUUAUUCUUUUCUUGAACCAAACGAAUUGAAGUUUGUCAUGGUUGACAGCUAUCUUCCACUACAUAAACUUUAUUAAAUUAAAAGCUUCAUGUAGAUUUGUCGCAGUACAUACUUCAUUUUGUAUAUUUGGCAGCUAUUAAUGUAUUUCAUACAUACAGAAUUACAAUAAUUGUGGCAGUACUAGCUGUUCUCAUGUUUUGAAUAAAUAUUAUAAUUUCCAACUAAUAACAUAUUAAAAUAAUAUAAUAUGACCAGGGGUUUUCUGUAGCUUGUAGAUUAUAAUAAUAUGUGUAAGUAUUAAAGCACUAUUUUCCAUAGUUAAAAAUAUUAUUUUAUGUAUAAGUUUUAUGAAAUAAAAGCACAUACUUAUCUAAAAGAAAUUUAUUUUAUUUUACAAAAUUUACAAAAAGUACAUCUCAAGUAUAUUUUGAAAUAUUACAUAGAAUGAGUAGAGAAUGAAAGAGCAUAUCUAUUGGAGAAUACACAGGAAUACUGAGAACAAAUAGAGAAGCAGGGAUCUAUAUAAAGAUGAUCAACUCUAGGAACUCAUUCACUAAACCCCUAACAAAACAGAAAACAACCUGAUAUACUUGAAAAUUAAGUCAGACUGGUGAUCAAACUCAAAUUUAACAAACCACCAGGUCCAACAAUUAAAAUACUUUGAAGAUGCUAUAAGACCAGAUACCUACAGAAAACAUGGAAACACUCAUAAAGAAACGUAACUAGAAAGCAAUAGAAAAUUUUAAAUAUUUGUUUACGAAAACUAAAGAUUGGUUCCUACAAAAUAAAUUUGUGUUACAAUGAACAAAAGCAAAUGUAAUACUGUUUAUAGAAUAGAAUAUAUUUAUUAAUUCAUUCAGAUGACAGUGUGAUAUACCUACUGCCAUGAUUAGCGAAAACACCAUAUCUGCAUAGACAUCACAUUUGAGUAAAAUCGAUUUUUGUUUAAGUAUUUGUAUACAUUUACACAAGAUACGGCAUAAGAUGCAGUGUGUUUAAUGUGUUUUGGUUUAACUUACGUCAUUUUUAGUAAGCAAAUAAGAUAUAUAUGCACAUUUGGGUUAGAAAGAAGUAAAAAUUUAAUUUUUGCAGAUACAGUGUUUUCUCUAAGCACAGUAGUAUAGGACAAGCCAUAUAUGUAGUUACAUAGAACAUAAUCAACAAGUCAUACAGGACAAUUAUAUAAAACAUAAUCAACAAACUAUAAA